GAUGAAGAACGCAGCGAAAUGCGAUAAGUAAUGUGAAUUGCAGAAUUCAGUGAAUCAUCGAAUCUUUGAACGCACAUUGCGCCCCCUGGUAUUCCGGGGGGCAUGCCUGUCCGAGCGUCAUUACAACCCUCAAGCUCAGCUUGGUGUUGGGCCCCGCCGCCCCGGCGGGCCCUAAAGUCAGUGGCGGUGCCGUCCGGCUCCGAGCGUAGUAAUUCUUCUCGCUCUGGAGGUCCGGUCGUGUGCUCGCCAGCAACCCCCAAUUUUUUUCAGGUUGACCUCGGAUCAGGUAGGGAUACCCGCUGAACUUAUGCAUAUCAAUAAGCGGAGG
rnacentral:misc_RNA from 1 species